AAUAUGGAUUUAGAUUACCUUUUCUUUAGUCCUUUUGUUGGCCUUUGUGUAUGAAAUUUGGAUUUUACAGAUUUGAUUUAUGCAUAUUCUAGAAUCUAAAUUUAUCAGGCUUUUAUUCAUGUGAAAAUUUAUAAUAUUGAUUGUAUGGGUUUUGAUCAUAAAUAAUGAGAUUUGUGUUUGGUGCUGUUAUAUUGCUAAUAUAUGGCUCUAUCUCUGUAUUUUUAUUCUAUUUGUAAUAUAGUUAAAACUUUUCUGGAUGGCUGCCUCCAAGAGAAGAGGCAAGAUACUUUGUGUGCAAGCAAUAUUUCACGGGAGACUCUUACUUUUGUUUGCAUUUUGCAAGUGGUGAUUCAAUUAGUGGAACUAUUCCUCCCGAGUUUGGAAAUCUUAUCAAAUUGCACUAUCUAGAUCUUUCAUUCUCUUCUUCUAAAGAUGGUGUGUUGGUUGAUAAUCUUGACUAGCUUUCUCGUUUCACUUCUUUGAAAACCUUUCUAUUAAUACUAAACGAUUACUUAUAUCAUUACAAAUAUGCUUUCUUCUUGUUGGAGAUCAAAUCUCGUUUAUUCUCUAUAGA